GACGAACGCUGGCGGCGUGCUUAACACAUGCAAGUCGAACGGUAAGGCCCUUCGGGGUACACGAGUGGCGAACGGGUGAGUAACGCGUGAGUAACCUGCCCUUCACUCUGGGAUAACAGUUGGAAACGGCUGCUAAUACCGGAUAUUCAGCUCCUGUCGCAUGGUGGGGGUUGGAAAGUUUUGGUGGUGGAGGAUGGGCUCGCGUCCUAUCAGCUUGUUGGUGGGGUGAUGGCCUACCAAGGCGUCGACGGGUAGCCGGCCUGAGAGGGCGACCGGCCACAUUGGGACUGAGAUACGGCCCAAACUCCUACGGGAGGCAGCAGUGGGGAAUAUUGCACAACGGGCGGAAGCCUGAUGCAGCAACGCCGCGUGCGGGAUGACGGCCUUCGGGUUGUAAACCGCUUUCAGCAGGGACGAAGCGCAAGUGACGGUACCUGCAGAAGAAGCACCGGCUAACUACGUG
rnacentral:rRNA from 1 species